UACGAAGGGUGCUAGCGUUGUUCGGAAUUACUGGGCGUAAAGCGCACGUAGGCGGCUUUGCAAGUUAGAGGUGAAAGCCCGGGGCUCAACUCCGGAAUUGCCUUUAAAACUGCAUCGCUAGAAUUGUGGAGAGGUAAGUGGAAUUCCGAGUGUAGAGGUGAAAUUCGUAGAUAUUCGGAAGAACACCAGUGGCGAAGGCGACUUACUGGACACAUAUUGACGCUGAGGUGCGAAAGCGUGGGGAGCAAACAGG
rnacentral:rRNA from 1 species